GAAGAAAGAUGGGGGCGUGCUUAACACAUGCAAGUCGAACGGAAAGGCCCUGCUUUUGUGGGGUGCUCGAGUGGCGAACGGGUGAGUAACACGUGAGUAACCUGCCCUUGACUUUGGGAUAACUUCAGGAAACUGGGCUAAUACCGGAUAGGAGCUCCUGCUGCCUGGUGGGGGGUGGGAAGUUUCGGCGGUUGGGGAUGGACUCGCGGCUUAUCAGCUUGUUGGUGGGGUAGUGGCUUACCAAGGCUUUGACGGGUAGCCGGCCUGAGAGGGUGACCGGCCACAUUGGGACUGAGAUACGGCCCAGACUCCUACGGGAGGCAGCAGUGGGGAAUAUUGCACAAUGGGCGGAAGCCUGAUGCAGCAACGCCGCGUGCGGGAUGACGGCCUUCGGGUUGUAAACCGCUUUCGCCUGUGACGAAGCGUGAGUGACGGUAAUGGGUAAAGAAGCACCGGCUAACUACGUG
rnacentral:rRNA from 1 species